AUGGUGGCGCCGGCGCGGGGGCGGUUCGUGGUGCCGGAGCACAUCCGGGGCCACCACGACGCCGCCAUCGGCAACUUCGGGGUGCCCGACUACGGCGGCACGCUCACGGGCGUCGUGCUCUACCCGGACAAGAAGGCCACCGGAUGCACCGAGUUCCCGGCCAGGUUCAAGUCCACGUCCGGCCGCCCCGUCGUCCUCCUGCUCGAGAUUGAUCGAUUCCUGGCUUCGGCUAAUUCUCGCGGGGAAGACAUUGCUGAUGCGCGACUGUGCGAGCCUGAAUUGUCCGACGAUUUACGGUGCCACCGAAUUUAG
rnacentral:rRNA from 1 species